rnacentral:rRNA from 1 species
GACGAACGCUGGCGGCGUGCUUAACACAUGCCAGUCGAACGGAAAGGCCCUGCUUUUGUGGGGUGCUCGAGUGGCGAACGGGUGAGUAACACGUGAGUAACCUGCCCUUGACUUUGGGAUAACUUCAGGAAACUGGGGCUAAUACCGGAUAGGAGCUCCUGCUGCAUGGUGGGGGUUGGAAAGUUUCGGCGGUUGGGGAUGGACUCGCGGCUUAUCAGCUUGUUGGUGGGGUAGUGGCUUACCAAGGCUUUGACGGGUAGCCGGCCUGAGAGGGUGACCGGCCACAUUGGGACUGAGAUACGGCCCAGACUCCUACGGGAGGCAGCAGUGGGGAAUAUUGCACAAUGGGCGGAAGCCUGAUGCAGCAACGCCGCGUGCGGGAUGACGGCCUUCGGGUUGGAAACCGCUUUCGCCUGUGACGAAGCGUGAGUGACGGUAAUGGGUAAAGAAGCACCGGCUAACUACGUG